rnacentral:rRNA from 1 species
CCUACGGGAGGCAGCAGUAAGGAAUAUUGGUCAAUGGACGAAAGUCUGAACCAGCCAUGCCGCGUGAAGGAUGAAGGCCCUCUGGGUUGUAAACUUCUUUUAUCUGGGACGAAAAAAGGGUAUUCUUACUCACUUGACGGUACCAGAGGAAUAAGCACCGGCUAACUCCGUGCCAGCAGCCGCGGUAAUACGGAGGGUGCAAGCGUUAUCCGGAUUCACUGGGUUUAAAGGGAGCGUAGGUGGGCUGAUAAGUCAGUGGUGAAAUCUCCGGGCUUAACCCGGAAACUGCCAUUGAUACUAUUAGUCUUGAAUUAUCUGGAGGUAAGCGGAAUAUGUCAUGUAGCGGUGAAAUGCUUAGAUAUGACAUAGAACACCAAUUGCGAAGGCAGCUUGCUACGGAUUGAUUGACACUGAGGCUCGAAAGCGUGGGGAUCAAACAGGAUUAGAUACCCUGGUAGUCCACGCCCUAAACGAUGGAUACUCGACAUCAGCGAUACACUGUUGGUGUCUGAGCGAAAGCAUUAAGUAUCCACCUGGAAGUACGACCGCAAGGUUGAAACUCAAAGGAAUUGACGG